rnacentral:lncRNA from 1 species
GGUUGAUGAAUGCUGCAUCAGAUACUCAUCCAAAAAAGAUGUGGAAAUCUUCUUGCUCCCGAUUGAAGAAGACCUUGUUGGCAUGUAAUAUGUAAUUAUCUCUCUAAAAAUGCUCUUUGAGCCUUGAAGCCUUUACCCCUUAGCUCUAGACCCCACUCCCCUAAACCUUUAUUUAUAAAGAAAAGAUACACAUAUAAAAGAGAAAUAACAAAACAGCUUAUUUUUUAUUAUCGUGACCUUAGCUACUCCAAUUAAUUUAUUUGUGUCCCUUGGACACAAGAGAAGGUAUACUUUGUUCAUUUCUGAAGAAGUUUAGAGGAUCAACUUUGGUCUUCACAUUUGCCAAUCUUCUGAAAUUGUUCUUGAAGUAUUUAACACCCCAGAUACUAGCUUGCUUGUAGCUUGUGUAUCCAUCAAUGUUAUUCACACCAAUAUCAAGGUCUCUAUAAUUGAUGUAUCCAGCUCUUGGAGACUUUGAAACAAAAGGUUCCAUGUAAUUAUAAAGUUUUCUAAUCCAAUUAAUGUGCAGUUUUUCCACCUCAUCACCUUCCUGUUGCCAAUCAACCUGGUAAUGAAUAUGAUAUAAAUUUCCUUUUCUAUGUGGAAAUGGAAUUUCAGACUCUGAAAUAGUAUCCAUUAUUCCACCAUAAGGAAACCAUAUCAUCAUUGCACCUUUGGCACCUUCUUCAUGAAACAAAGACCAUAUUCCUUCUAAUCCAUUUUCAGGAAUGGGAGUUUUCACAAAAUCAGAUUUUGCUUUGUAAAUAAAUCUUGGGCUGUUUGCAGCUAGUGUUCUGUUAAGCAACACUUCAGGUAAUGCACCUUUCGGAAAUUGAAAAAGGUAAAGAACCGAUUCAAUCCAACUCAUUUCAAUACAAUUUUCUCUGACCACACCCAACUCAGGAAACUUUUGAUCCAUCAAGGGAAUGAGUUUAUCUACACCUCCAAGAAACAAGGCUUGAAAUAUAGCUAGAAUUGUUGUCUCGCCUUUUUUACUUGAAUUUAUCCUUUGAAAGACAAUAUUGAUGGCUAUGUUUUCAUCAAUUUUACUUGCCAAAUACUGCCACUUGUGAACAAGCUUUGUUGCAUUUUGUUCCAAUGCUCUUGGAACUGUAAACACCGUCACUGUUGCUGGAACUUCAACAAGUUUUAUCUUCCAUGAAAUUAUGACUCCAAAACUUGCUCCUCCACCACCUCUAAUAGCCCAAAAAUAAUCUUCACCCAUUGCUUCUCUGUCAAGUAACCUACCUUUCACAUCAAUUAUGUGAGCAUCGAUUACAUUAUCCGCGGCUAAACCAUAUUUACGCAACAAGGUUCCAUAGCCGCCACCACUGAAAUGUCCACCAACACCUAUUGUAGGACAAGCACCAGCUGGGAAAGCAAGAUUUCGGCUUUUUUGGCUAAUUGUGUAGUAAAGUUCACCAAGUGUUGCACCAGACUGAACCCAAGCAGUUCUGCUUUCUACAUCUACAUCAAUUUCCUUGAAGUUUAUGAGAUCAAUGACAACAAAUGGAAUUUCUGAAACAUAGGAUAGGCCCUCAAAGUCAUGGCCCCCACUACGGGUUCGAAUCUGGAGGCCAUGAUUUUGGGAACAAAUUAUGGCUGUUUGAAUAUGGGAAGGUUCUAGAGGUGUGAUGAUGACAAGUGGUUUUGGUGUUUUGUAGGAUGCAAAUCUUAGAUUUUGAGUUGUAAAUUUGAGUACUGGUGAGUAAGAGGGAUUGGUUUUGGUGUACACAACUUUAGAGAUUGAAGUUGAGUUAUGUGAAUAACUAGAAAGACAUUGAAGGAAGUUAUCUUCAUAAGUAUUAGUAUCAAUUGCAGAAGAUGCAUAUGAAAAUAAAAUAGCAAUAAGUGCAACAGACAAAUAUGAGCUUAGAGGCAUCAUUUUGUUUUAGUAAUGUUGUGCAUAUGAUGCUUCAAAUUUAUAGGCGGGUUUCUACAUGCUCGAAGAUAAAUAUCCAUGUGGAUUAACAAUUAAACACUUAUUGCAUAAUUGUGCUUUAUCUAAUUGUUUAAAAAAAACUAUUUUUUGUAACAAAACUAUAAAAACAAUUUGUUUCUCAUAUAAGUUAGCAAAUGUGCACUUAUUUGAUUCCACAAGUUUUGCAUAAGGUUGUUGUUCUUAUUCUCAACAUAUUGUGUUUUAUUUAUAAAAGGUAAUUAUCAUUUUGUAUGUAAGGAGUAG